UACGUAGGGUGCGAGCGUUGUCCGGAAUUAUUGGGCGUAAAGGGAUCGUAGGCGGUUUGUCGGGUCUGUCGUGAAAGCUCGGGGCUUAACUCCGGGUCUGCGGUGGAUACGGGCAGGCUAGAGUCCGGCAGGGGAGACUGGAAUUCCUGGUGUAGCGGUGAAAUGCGCAGAUAUCAGGAGGAACACCGUUGGCGAAGUCGGGUCUCUGGGCCGGUACUGACGCUGAGGAGCGAAAGCGUGGGGAGCGAACAGG
rnacentral:misc_RNA from 1 species